ACCGCGGCAGUCAAGGAUAGAUACUGGACCAUGGACCAACAAGGGUAGGAGUGCGAAGGAAAGGGUGGGAAAAGCUUGGGCAAAGGCACUGCAUGCACUUGGUAUACCUGGUAGGAAAGUGGAUGACCCCUAUUUCAGAGCAGCCAUCAUAGAGACACAAAACCAAGGAGUUGGUGUCCAGCUGCCAACUGGCAAGGAGAUAGAUGGCAAGUACUUGGACGCUACUGUAACUGAGAUUGAAAAGGAGAUAGAGAAGUGGUAUGUAUCGUGUGAACUACUAUGUAUUAUAAACUUUAGCGAUGAUGGUUUGUAAGGACUAUGGUUGUGAUGAUUUGUAUGGACUAUUGUUGUGAUGAUCUAUAUGGAUUGUGGAUGUGAAUUUCUAUUUAUAUGUAUAUGAACUUCUAUUCUAUGUAUGUGUGAAUGUUAUAAAAUUGUUUGAUAUA